GCCGCCUGACCGCCGCCUGACCUGAGCCGCUGGGCGUCGGGAAGGGCGCGCCGGUCCAGCACGAGUCCGCCGCUGGGGAACUCGCCGUGUGUCUAGGGCUGCUGCCGGCCCAGCUCUCAGGACACGUCUGCCUUCAGAUCACAUCGGUGCCCACACCUGGGCACCAUCAUGGUCCAUACAGUCAUUCCAUCCGCUGGCUGAUAGCAGAAGGGAACCCCCUACCUCUUCCAAGGCACUGUGAUCCCCCAAAGAGGGACGUGCCCACCAGCGUCUUACCCCAGCCUGGAAAUGUGCGGCUCUUCUGAGAAGUGUGAUAUGAGUCCAGCAGCAUCCCUUCAACCCUGGUGCCCUAGGAGUCUUGAAAGAGUGACCAAAAUGAUAACAAAGAAGGCUAAUGAACUUCUCUCCUAUGGAUGCACCAAUUCUAUCAAUACAACUACACACAGAGAAAUUCCCUUUGAAAGAAAUCGAGAAACUAAGUGACUCCACACAUCAGGUGAAAGAGAAAAUGCCCAUGUUGAAACAGACAGGAAACGCUGAGACACACUCACCGUGCCCCCCACUCCCAGCACAGCUCCUUACAAUUGGAAGGAGACUCCUAAUUCCAGCUUCUCCCUGAGGACUGAAGCAUUUAGAAGACACAGCUAGCACCCCAACCACCAAGACUCCCUCCUGAGGGACGGGCCCCCAAAACACCUAGCCCUAAAAGCCAACAGGCUUGCGUCCAUGAGACCCACAAGACCGCAGCAAACAAAGAAGCAUUUCUUAACGGACACACGAGCACUCACUGAGAAUGUCCCCCCAGGGCUCAGUGUGGAAGGAACAGGCAAAAAUGCCCAUCUGCCCAUCUUUCGCGCAAAGGGGUCUAACUGCUCCUACAAGAUGCUGCCUGAUCAUCCAGCCUCUAACGUUAGCAUGCAUCUCAGGGCUGCCUGCAACCGUCCCUGGAGACCGGGGAAGCCUGCAGACACCUUCCCCAUCUUCCCCUCUGGUCUGCUCCAACAGUAAAGCCAAGGCACCAGUAUCUCCUGGAACAAGCUCCUACGUACAUCUGACGGCCCAGCUUUUGCGGCUGCUGACCAAGGAUAAACACCUAAAUCACCUGGCUCUAAUAGCCAGUGGGGUUUGCGUUCAUGAAUCCCACAGGUCUAUAGCAAAUAAAGAAGCAGUUUUUAAACGGACGCAGAAGCACUCUGCCAUGGCGGUACAUCUGGGCUCAGCACACAGGGAGCAAAAACGUUCAUCUCCCAGGUUCUCCCCGGAAAGGGUUCAACUAAAUACUUUCCCAGCUGCUGCCUGAGGGUCCAGCUUCUAAUCAGCCUACAACUAGGUGCUGACUGCGAUCCACCCCUUUGGAACACUGAUAGAUCUUGGCACCAUCUCGGACACUGAGAGCCACUAAGCACAAAGAAGAUGGGUUGGAUUGUCACAGAGGUUUGAGAGCAGCUCGGAGCUGGGCUGGGCAGGUUUAUCUGCUAAAUGAGACAACUCUGUAAAGACUGGGAGAGGCAGUUGUUUUAUUUAACGUGCAGAAACCAACACAGAAAGUCAAGGAAAAUGAAGAAACAGAGUAAUAUAUUCUAAAACAAAAGAACAAGAGAAAUCUCCAGAGACAUCUUAAUGACCAAUCCUUUACAAACUCUUCCAAAAAUACAAGAAGAAAGAAAACCAAACCAUUCUAUGAGGCUAAAACUCCACUAUGGACCCCAAACUGCCCUCUUGACUCCACAUGUUGGUCAAGUUGAAUGAUAGCCAUCCUUCUUCCUCCUGACCUUUCAGGUAAUUAACAAUACGAAGGUCACACAGUUUGUGUGUUGGAG